rnacentral:tRNA from 1 species
GCGGGUAUGGUAUAGCGGUAUUAUGCCACCCUUCCAAGGUGGAGAGACGGGUUCGACUCCCGUUACCCGCU